GGAUACUCCAGGGGCUCAUUUGCCAAGGGUGUCUAUUUCAUUUCAUUUCACUUCAUUUCUUUUCUUUCUUCCAAUAUAUCUUCUGCCAAACUCUGAGACAGGCUUUGGUGAUACAUCAAUGAUCAGAGAAAAAAUCCUGCUCUCAAGUUGCUCACUGUCUAGAUGGGGAGGCAGACAGAUAAACAGAGUGCUACAAAAUGAUGUGGGUAAAAUAACUUCGCUUCAGCCCAG
rnacentral:lncRNA from 1 species